rnacentral:rRNA from 1 species
GACGAACGCUGGCGGCGUGCCUAAUACAUGCAAGUCGAGCGGAUGAGAAAGGAGCUUGCUCCUUUCGAUUCAGCGGCGGACGGGUGAGUAACACGUGGGCAACCUGCCUGUAAGACUGGGAUAACUCCGGGAAACCGGGGCUAAUACUGGAUAACUCAUGAGACUGCAUAGUCUGAUGAUAAAAGAUGGUUAUGCUAUCACUUACAGAUGGGCCCGCGGCGCAUUAGCUAGUUGGUGAGGUAACGGCUCACCAAGGCGACGAUGCGUAGCCGACCUGAGAGGGUGAUCGGCCACACUGGGACUGAGACACGGCCCAGACUCCUACGGGAGGCAGCAGUAGGGAAUCUUCCGCAAUGGACGAAAGUCUGACGGAGCAACGCCGCGUGAGCGAUGAAGCCUUCGGGUCGUAAAGCUCUGUUGUUAGGGAAGAACAAGUAUGAGUUAACUGCUCAUACCGUGGACGGGACCUAACGAAAAAGCCACGGCUAACUUACGUGCCACCAGCCGCGGUAAUACGUANGUGGCAAGCGUUGUCCGGAUUUUAUUGGGCGUAAAGCGCGCGCA